AUUGAACGCUGGCGGCAUGCCUUACACAUGCAAGUCGAACGGCAGCGGGGGAGAAGCUUGCUUUUCCUGCCGGCGAGUGGCGAACGGGUGAGUAAUACAUCGGAACGUGCCCUGUAGUGGGGGAUAACUAGUCGAAAGAUUAGCUAAUACCGCAUACGACCUGAGGGUGAAAGUGGGGGGCCUCAAGGCCUCAUGCUAUAGGAGCGGCCGAUGUCUGAUUAGCUAGUUGGUGGGGUAAAGGCCUACCAAGGCGACGAUCAGUAGCUGGGCUGAGAGGACGAUCAGCCACACUGGGACUGAGACACGGCCCAGACUCCUACGGGAGGCAGCAGUGGGGAAUUUUGGACAAUGGGCGAAAGCCUGAUCCAGCAAUGCCGCGUGUGUGAAGAAGGCCUUCGGGUUGUAAAGCACUUUUGUCCGGAAAGAAAUGGCUCUGGUUAAUACCUGGGGUCGAUGACGGUACCAGAAGAAUAAGGACCGGCUAACUACGUGCCAGCCGCCGCGGUAAAAC
rnacentral:rRNA from 1 species